rnacentral:misc_RNA from 1 species
UACGGAGGGGGCAAGCGUUGUACGGAACUAUUGGGCGUAAAGCGAGCGCAGGCGGUUCCUUAAGUCUGAUGUGAAAGCCCACGGCUUAACCGUGGAGGGUCAGUGGAAACUGGGGAACUUGAGUACAGAAGAGGAGAGUGGAAUUCCACGUGUAGCGGUUAAAUGCGUAGAUAUGUGGGGUAACACCAGUGGCGAAGGCGACUCUCUGGUCUGUAACUGACGCUGAGGCGCGAAAGCGUGGGGAGCGAACAGG